GCUGGUGUAGCGCUUGCCUCCCGUGCAUGAGGGUCUGGGUUCGAGUCCCAGCACCACCA
rnacentral:tRNA from 1 species